rnacentral:rRNA from 1 species
AAACCGGUUGAUCCUGCCGGACCCAACCGCUAUCGGAGCGGGACUAAGCCAUGCUAGUCGAGCGCCUCGGACCACGGCGAGGCGCGGCGUACGGCUCAGCAACACGUGGUCAAUCUACCCUGAGGACGGGGAUACCUCCGGGAAAACCAGGUGUCUUUUCCUGGUCCCGAAACUGGAGUCAAUACCCGAUAGGUGAAGAGGUCUGGAAUGCCUUUUAACCCAAACGGCGUUAGCGCCAUGUCCGUUGACGUCGCCUGAGGAUGGGACCGCGGCCGAUUAGGCUGUUGGUGGGGUAACGAUCGGUGGCCCUCAACUUGUUGCUGAGGGAGUCGAUUACAAGCCCACCAAACCGAUAAUCGGUACGGGCCGUGAGAGCGGUAGCCCGGAGAUGGGGACUGAGACAAGGCCCCAGGCCCUACGGGGCGCAGCAGGCGCGAAACCUCCGCAAUGCGGGAAACCGCGACGGGGCUACUCCGAGUGCCAUCCGCUAAGGGUGGCUUUUCCACAGUGUAAACAGCUGUGGGAAUAAGGGGAGGGCAAGGCUGGUGCCAGCCGCCGCGGUAAAACCAGCUCCUCGAGUGGUUGGGAUGUUUAUUGGGCCUAAAGCGUCCGUAGCCGGCCCGAUAAGUCCUUGGCUAAAUCCGUCAGCCUAACUGACGGCGUGCUGAGGAUACUGUUGGGCUUGGGGGCGGGAGAGGCUGAGGGUACUACUGGGGUAGGGGUGAAAUCCUAUAAUCCCAGUAGGACCACCUGUGGCGAAGGCGCUCAGCUGGAACGCGCCCGACGGUGAGGGACGAAAGCUAGGGGAGCGAACCGGAUUAGAUACCCGGGUAGUCCUAGCUGUAAACUAUGCGGGCUAGGUGUUAGAGCGGCCACGUGCUGCUCUAGUGCCGAAGGGAAGCCGUUAAGCCCGCCGCCUGGGGAGUACGGCCGCAAGGCUGAAACUUAAAGGAAUUGGCGGGGGAGCACCACAAGGGGUGAAGCCUGCGGUUUAAUUGGACUCAACGCCGGGAAACUUACCGGGGGCGACAGCAGAAUGAAGGCCAGGUUGACGACCUUGCCUGACAAGCUGAGAGGAGGUGCAUGGCCGUCGCCAGUUCGUGCCGUGAGGUGUCCUGUCAAGUCAGGCAACGAACGAGACCCCUGCUUACAGUUGCUAUCAGGUUCAGAAAUGGGUCUGAGCACACUGUGAGGACUGCCGGCGAUAAGCUGGAGGAAGGAGGGGGCCACGGCAGGUCAGUAUGCCCCGAAUCCCCCGGGCCACACGCGGGCUGCAAUGGCUGGGACAAUGGGCUCCAACCCCGAGAGGGGAAGGUAAUCCCGAAACCCAGUCUCAGUUGGGAUCGAGGGCUGCAACCCGCCCUCGUGAACAUGGAAUCCCUAGUAACCGCGUGUCAUCAUCGCGCGGUGAAUACUGUCCCUGCUCCUUGCACACACCGCCCGUCGCUCCACCCGAGUCGGGUUAGGGUGAGACGUAGCCUUAUUGGUCGCGUCGAACCCAGGCUCGGCAAGGGGGGAGAAGUCGUAACAAGGUAGCCGUAGGGGAACCUGCGGCUGGAUCACCUCCU